AGUGAACGCUGGCGGUAGGCCUAACACAUGCGAGUCGAACGGCAGCACAGUAAGAGCUUGCUCUUACGGGUGGCGAGUGGCGGACGGGUGAGGAAUACAUCGGAAUCUACUUUUUCGUGGGGGAUAACGUAGGGAAACUUACGCUAAUACCGCAUACGACCUACGGGUGAAAGCAGGGGAUCUUCGGACCUUGCGCGAUUGAAUGAGCCGAUGUCGGAUUAGCUAGUUGGCGGGGUAAAGGCCCACCAAGGCGACGAUCCUUAGCUGGUCUGAGAGGAUGAUCAGCCACACUGGAACUGAGACACGGUCCAGACUCCUACGGGGGGCAGCAGUGGGGAAUAUUGGACAAUGGGCGCAAGCCUGAUCCAGCCAUACCGCGUGGGUGAAGAAGGCCUUCGGGUUGUAAAGCCCUUUUGUUGGGAAAGAAAAGCAGCAGGUUAAUACCCCGCUGUUCUGACGGUACCCAAAGAAUAAGCACCGGCUAACUUCGUG
rnacentral:rRNA from 1 species